GGCCUGGUGGUCUAGCGGUAUGAUUCCUCUUUCGGGACUAAUUCCCCGGUUCCAUUGAAUCGAAUAUAGAGGAGGUCCCGGGUUCAAUCCCCGGCCAGGCCC
rnacentral:tRNA from 1 species